AUAAAUUUUCAAAGUGAUCAAUAAAUCGCAAGAAUGUCGAAAAUAAUUUUGGCUAUUUUCUUAAUUGUCCUGUGUGGGCUCAUUUUUGUUACUGUGGACGCGACUCUUGAUGCACCAUGCAAGGAAAAUAAGGAUUGUAAUCCACUUGACGAAUUCUGCUCAAUUUAUGCUGAUGAUGAUGGGAAUAUUGCAGGAAUGAGAUGUGAAGCUGCAGAAUUGUGAACAUGUGAAUGCAAAAAUAUAUUUUUUUAAUUUUUAAGCUAAUUUUUUACCUAAUAAGAAAAUAUAAGUACGCUGAAAUUAAAAAAAAUCAUCAGAAUAAAAAUAUUUUUUUACCUUG